AUGUAAUAAUAAUAAUAAUUAACAGAACCUUAAAAUCAAUUACAUAGGAAACAGGGAGCCCGCGCAGUUCAGCUAACACAGGGGUGAUGUGCUCUCUCUUCUUGGUCUUAGUUAAGAAUCUAGCAGCAGAGUUCUUCCAAUUCCUUAUGCUUUUGUAGGAGACCAGUAAAAAGUGCA